GGGUUCAUGGCCUAAUGGUAAGGCGUCAGAUUUCGGUUCUGUAUGUUUGUAUAGAAUAACUGUCCUCUGAAGAUUGCAGGUUCGAUCCCUGCUGAGCUCG
rnacentral:tRNA from 1 species